CCGUUCUAGCAACGUUGUACAAGGAGCUUUGUCGGGUGACAGAGCCGCAAGUUAAAGACAUCGGCGGAUGCCUGAUACUGCUGCAGUCAUGGGCCCUUUAUCGGAUGCCAUUUUUGGCACGUGUUAGUCACCAACCCUAUCUAUAUCCACUGCCACUCAGGUGGACGACCCGUCCAGGAAUCGGGAAGUAGAGUGAUGUCCCAAUAUACCGCAUGAGGAUUGAACAGCAUGCCCGGGAAGGGUUUAUAUGGAUGCCGUAUCGGAGGCCAGAAAUUGCAAAUGUUGUACCCUCGUCCGCACUCGUUGAUUCCCACACAUGGUGCACAAACACACCAAUUAUAAAUUUCAACAUCGUGGAGUGGUAUCACGGCGAUCGGGUGCUUCGGCAGUUCGGUUGCAUCCAACCUAUCCCGGAUCCACCGUGCCAGUUGGGGGAAGAUCACGGCUUGACAAAGAGAGGAAGGGUUCAAUUGGACUGGGGAAUAUAUCACCGGAAAUACAUCGCACUGUGGUACGAUCGAUUGAGCCGAAUUCCUCAGAUGGUUAUGGCU